AGGGUGUAAACGCUGCAGACUUGGUGUUGGAGGCCCUUUGGGGGCAUUCAGUGCCGGAGAGAAGUUGUUAAGUCUGCUACUUGGGGAGUACGUCCGCAAGGAUGAAACUUAAAGGAAUUGGCGGGGGAGCACCGCAACGGGAGGAGCGUGCGGUUUAAUUGGAUUCAACACCGGAAAACUCACCAGGGGAGACUGUUACAUGAAACCCAGACUAAUGAUCUUGGUUGAUUUUCAGAGAGGAGGUGCAUGGCGUCAGUGACU
rnacentral:rRNA from 1 species